rnacentral:rRNA from 1 species
UACGGGGGGGGCAAGCGUUGUUCGGAAUUACUGGGCGUAAAGGGCUCGUAGGCGGCCAACUAAGUCGGACGUGAAAUCCCUCGGCUUAACCGGGGAACUGCGUCCGAUACUGGAUGGCUUGAGUAUGGGAGAGGGAUGCGGAAUUCCAGGUGUAGCGGUGAAAUGCGUAGAUAUCUGGAGGAACACCGGUGGCGAAGGCGGCAUCCUGGACCAUUACUGACGCUGAGGAGCGAAAGCCAGGGGAGCAAACGGG